GUAGCAAUACUUAGUGGCAGACGGGUGAGUAACAUGUAGGUAUCUGCCCUUUGGCCUGGAAUAACACGAGGAAACUUGUGCUAAUACUGGAUAAGUCUUUACGGAGAAAGCUUUAUGCACCAUUGGAUGAGCCUGCACUUGAUUAGUUUGUUGGUGGGGUAAUGGCCUACCAAGACUGUGAUCAAUAGCUGAUUUGAGAGGAUGAUCAGCCACAUUGGGACUGAGACACGGCCCAAACUCCUACGGGAGGCAGCAGUGGGGAAUCUUGCACAAUGGAGGAAACUCUGAUGCAGCGAUGCCGCGUGAGUGAAGAAGGCCCUUGGGUUGUAAAGCUCUUUCGUCGGGGAAGAAAAUGACUGUACCCGAAUAAGAAGGUCCGGCUAACUUCGUGCCAGCAGCCGCGGUAAUACGAAGGGACCUAGCGUAGUUCGGAAUUACUGGGCUUAAAGAGUUCGUAGGUGGUUGAAAAAGUUGGUGGUGAAAUCCCAGAGCUUAACUCUGGAACUGCCAUCAAAACUUUUCAGCUAGAGUAUGAUAGAGGAAAGCAGAAUUUCUAGUGUAGAGGUGAAAUUCGUAGAUAUUAGAAAGAAUACCAAUUGCGAAGGCAGCUUUCUGGAUCAUUACUGACACUGAGGAACGAAAGCAUGGGUAGCGAAGAGGAUUAGAUACCCUCGUAGUCCAUGCCGUAAACGAUGUGUGUUAGACGUUGGAAAUUUAUUUUCAGUGUCGCAGCGAAAGCGAUAAACACACCGCCUGGGGAGUACGAC
rnacentral:rRNA from 1 species